UUGACGGGGGCCCGCACAAGCGGUGGAGCAUGUGGUUUAAUUCGAUGCAACGCGAAGAACCUUACCUGGUCUUGACAUCCACAGAACUUUCCAGAGAUGGAUUGGUGCCUUCGGGAACUGUGAGACAGGUGCUGCAUGGCUGUCGUCAGCUCGUGUUGUGAAAUGUUGGGUUAAGUCCCGCAACGAGCGCAACCCUUAUCC
rnacentral:rRNA from 1 species